AGCUGUUCAAUUUGUACAAUUCUCAAAAUCUUUGCUCCUUGCACAACAAUAUUUUUGGUAAUUUCCUAUUUUCUUCUGAAACUAUGCGUCUUACAAACAUUUUGUUGAAAAAAGUCAAAAGCAAGCGUAUUAUGGUUGUGGUAGAAAGUGUGGUCAGUGGCCACAAAUUUAAUGCCGUUCGCGACAGAUUAUCGGAUAAAUUGGAAUGCAUACGCUUUGAUCCGUACAUUCAACAGGAUUGUGUAUAUCGGGAACGCAAGAAGAUUCGAAGCGCUUAAUUAUUUUUCCAUUUUUGUUUUCAUAGUUCAAGAAAAUAUAAAACAAAUUAAAAAAAGAACUUAAAUAUCCCACUAAAAGUUAAUUACUAAAGGACAUUUGGUCUAUGGAUUUUAAUAACCCACCAAUAUGACU